GAGAUGGCUCAGUGGUUAAGAGCACUGACUGCUCUUCCAGAGGUCCUGAGUUCAAUUCCCAGCAACCACA
rnacentral:tRNA from 1 species